rnacentral:rRNA from 1 species
CAAUAGCGUAUAUUAAAGUUGUUGCAGUUAAAAAGCUCGUAGUUGGAGUUCAGAGUGAGCUCAGCCGGUCCGCCUCAUGGGUGAGUACUGGUCGACUCUCUCUUGUUUGUGAAUCCCGCCCGGAGUUAAUUCUUCGGGAUGUGGAGUUCACAUCGUUUACCUUGAAAAAUUAGAGUGUUCAAAGCAGGCGUUUGCUUGAAUAUAUUAGCAUGGAAUAAUGGAAUAGGACCCUGGUUCUAUUUUGUUGGUUUUGAGAACCAGAGUAAUGAUUAAUAGGGAUAGUUGGGGGCGAUUCUAUAUUUCUAUUGUUCAGAGGUGAAAUUCUUGGAUUUAUGAAAGAAUGAACUUCUGCGAAAGCAUUUGCCAAGGAUGUUUUC